rnacentral:tRNA from 1 species
GGAAUGUAGCUCAGUGGUAGAAUAUUUGUUUAGCAUGCACGAAUGAGGUCCUGGGUUCAGUCCCCAGCACCA